rnacentral:rRNA from 1 species
UAGGGAAUCUUCCACAAUGGGCGAAAGUCUGAUGGAGCAACGCCGCGUGAGUGAAGAAGGGUUUCGGCUCGUAAAACUCUGUUGUUAAAGAAGAACAUAUCUGAGAGUGACUGUUCAGGUAUUGACGGUAUUUAACCAGAAAGCCACGGCUAACUACGUGCCAA